UGUUUAAAAACAUAAUAGACUUUUAUAAAUUUUACACAUUAUUAGUAGAAAGGUUAGCUUUGAAUUCAAAAUCACUGCAAAAGCUGUUUAUUGUGAAUUCAAUACAAUUUUGUGAAGUUAACACAAUUCAUGUGUCGUCAGUUGAAUGGCAUUCAGUUAACAGAAUAGUACCAAAUAUUCUAAUAUAUAUAUAGUAUCAAAAAGUGGACUGUCUGAAAAUUAUUAUAUCCAAACUCCUUGGUUCUGGAAUUGUAGCUGCCUCUACUCUAGUCAAAGUACCUCAAAUAUUGAAAUUAUACAAUGCAAAAAGUAGUGAAGGAAUCAGUUUUUAUGGUGUUCUUUUGGAAUUAAUUAGCAUGACAGCUACUACUUCAUACAGUUUUAAAAAGCAAUUUCCAUUUAG